GUUUCCUAAGUGAUAUCUGAUGGAACAAUGGAGCACACCCCAGGGGCUUGGACCCCCAGCUCACACACGUUCCUCCCUCCUGCUGCCUCCCCUGGAUGGGUUCUCAGCUGCUCCCUCCCCACACACUGGCACCCCACGACUCAUGAUCUCCUCUACCCUCUGUCUGGGUGCAAAUGGAUGAGUCAGCCAGGAAGAUUCACAUCCCACUGGAAUAAAAUGACAAAGUGCUAAGGGAAACUGGAGCCACAGGGCUGCACUGUCCACUCGAUACACGAAUCCAAAGGAAAGAAACACAAACACUGGAGUCAGCACAGAUACGCAGCCUGCUUCCCACAGGACCGCAGGAAGAGCUCAUUCAGAGAGUCAGACACAUCCUGGACUCUCCCGGUGCAGAAAGAAGACCCGGAGUGGGUCAGUCAGUCCCUGGUGCAGGAGGCCUGGGGGACAGCUGAGCAGCCACAGGAAGGAACUCUGGGAGCUCACACGCGGUCCUCUGCCGGAGGAGUAAGAGAAGGGCUCCCCCCUCACCAGUGAGGAAGCUCUCAGCAGGAUUCAGGUGAAGGCUGUAACCCAAAUGAACCCCAAAUGCAUAAACCCUAACCCAGACACAGAACUGGCCUUCGCCGACUUUCUCAAUGUGCACAAAUUGCACUCUGAGGGCACCUACACUGAGAUGCAAAACCGCAACCAAUGUCUACACACAGGCCCAGGGGAAGCACAGGGACCACCUCAGAGAGGGCAGCAGCCCGCCCCUGUGCCUGUGCCUCCCCGCUUCCCAGGGCUCUGCAGCUUCUCUCAGCGUAAAGGCUCGUUCUAUGCCGGUGUGAGCAGGGAGGACACCGACAGGCGGAGGCUCCCCAGGAAGCACGAGUGGGCCUUGAAGCCCUUCCCUGUGCAGGCUCCAGGGCGCAUUACCUUAGAGACCCCGACCCCAGGCCUCUGCUCCCAAUCACACGGCUUUGGACCACAGCGAUCUUCCGUAGCGUCUAGAACAACGCCCGACAAAACCUUGCGCUCAAUAAGAAAUGUACUUUAAUGAAUGGAUGACUAUAAAAACAACCAGGAACUGCCCAACACUCCGGCAACGAAGGCCAAAUCUAUAAGAACUCCAGGGAUCAGGGGAGGCUGGUCCAUUAGUCAUCCCUAAAAGGACGUACAGCAUCACGUCAGAAAGAAAACUCCCCACCACGUCCUGCAAAUACCAUAGAUUUUUUUAUCAGCAUCGACAGAGGCCUUCAAAUACAAACACUUUUUCUACUUUAAAGCAGCCUUCAGCAUCCCAUUACAGAUCAUCACGUGGCUACACCUAACUUUAACAUGAUGACUUUCACAUCUAAGGUAAUACGACCGAUAUUAAACCAUGUCUUCUACCUUAAUCAACUCUCUUCUAUGAAUAGUCGUAGGCAUGAGAGCAGGAAUAACUUAAAAAGAAAUGGAUAAUAAUUUUAUUCCUUCCCCCACCCAGUGUACCCAGCAAACAGUACAACACUGACUGAUACUUUUCCUGUUUUCCUUCGCAAAAAAUACAUCUGCUUAAAAUGGGAGUCAGGGCUGCUGUUUCCUCCAGCCAUGUAACACAUUUAAGUGACGAGACGCCACAAAUCAUUGAAAUAUUGGCCAUACAUGUCUACCUUACAGUUCCCAAAGUGAGACUCCAGUGAACUUAUGUUACAGCUGCCCCGAAAAGAAAAAGGAAGCAAAAACAAGGUCAUCCAGGAUGACAGGCGGAAUUAAAGCAGAUGAAAGCCUUGCGUUACAGACGCGGGGAUAGUGAAAGGCAAGUCACUCCUUACCAGAAUGAAAGAACUAAAACUGCUCUGGAAGAAAGAGCCCGGGUACAAAGGCUUUCAGGGCUACUUGCACAGAUCCAAAACAUCUUGCCAGAAAAAUAUCAAGGAACUGUCCCCUUUGGAGCAGAAGCAAGACAGGACUGGCCAAGGCACCAACACCUGCCCCCCCCCUCCACACACUUUGUAUUAGGACCCCAAGAAAUUAAGACACGACGAGAUGGAUUCAGUUUCCAUUUUCAGUCACAGAAAAAGGAGCUGGAACGAUCUACUGGUCCCUGAAAUAAUAACAAUAAAAACACGCGUGC
ensembl:lncRNA